UUUUUUCACAUUUUAUUUUCUUGAUUUUCAAUUUUUCUUGAAUUUUCUCUUUACUCCUUUGUUUUAAUUAGUUUAAAAAUACUUUUAGGCAUUUUCAAUUUCUGAAAAAAUUACUUUAUGCUUCUUAUCUUAUUUCCAACCUUCCAUAAUUUUCUUGGCCAUUUAUUUGGUGUUUUGAAGGGCUUUUUGGAUUUUCUCUUUUAUUUCCCUUUUAAAAUUCAUAUUAAA
rnacentral:lncRNA from 1 species